rnacentral:lncRNA from 1 species
CUUAUCAUCAUUUUUUCUUUUCUUUUUUUCAUUUUGGGCCCUGAAGCAUGGAGACUUUUUCUUCUGACAUUCAUUCACCAUUUCUACACGCAACAUCCCAUUGCUUACUCCGUUCUCCAUUUUGCCUCUCAGUUAUACAUCAUACACAUACACCUCAGUUUUAUUCCGUUUUCCAUUUUUCCUCCCCAGUUAUACAUCACAAGCUUUUUUUGCUAUCUUCAUUAGAAAAUUUGGGGAUGGAAUUCAUAGGUGGAAAAAGGACAGGUAGACCCGAAGGUGAGUUCAACAACAAUGGCGGUUUCAAGAAAUCCAAGCACUAUUUGUUUUUCAUUUUUUUUUUACACUCACUAUUAGUUCUAGGGCUUCUUCUUCUUCUUCUUCUUCUUUUUCGAAUACUUACAGGUUUUAUGUUGAACUUUGAGAAGGGAAAUCAACGUUCUGGGUUAAAAGUCUGGCAUUCCAACAUUUGAAAGCUGGGCUUGAGGAAAAUUGAAUAGAAUUAGCUAAACAAUAUUGUGAACAUUUGGCAAUUAGAAAGAAAAUGGCUCGUUUGGCUUGAUGCUAUGAAAAUCAUUAUGUAUAAUUGGGUUGUUGUUGAUUCAAGAAAAGAUGGUUAUGAGAGGAAUUGUUUGUGUAUAUUAAUUUUGACUUUUUUUUCAUCAAUAUUAUAAUUAUUUUAAAAUUUCAAAAUUUUGAUGUUAUGAUUUCUUCCACCCGAAAUAAAUCUUUAGGAUUACCUUUUUUCCAAGUUUUUGUUUUCUGUUUUAAAUUUGUGAUGUUUGAAUUAAAUCAGAUGUAGACGCGUUCUCCACUUGCCAGAGCUCGAGCUGAUUAUGACUAUAUCUCAUCAAGCUGUUGUUGGUCAGCAACAGUGGUAUGUGUUUUCACGCACUUAACACUUUCACAUUCUGAUUGAAAUGUGUGAACACGCUUUUAUAUUUGAUUUUUGAUUUUUGAUUUUUGAUUUUUGGCUGCGUAUUUAUAGAAAAGCCUAACAUGUCUUAAGAUUUUGUUGAUUUGCCAUGGAAAUCUCUUCAUUUCUUCCGCUAGGUUUUCUUUCCAGUACCCAAUUUCAUUAAUGGAUCUCACAAAGAAACGUGAGGUCGGCGAGAAUGGCGUCACCCGCAUCGCCUAUUCUACACCAAUAGGUUUCAAAUCUCAUUAGUCUUAGUCUCUCAAGCUCUACAGAAAAGAUUAUUGUUGAGCACAUAUGGUGAGUUUCUCUUCAUUUAGUUUAUGGUGUUGCUCUGUUUCUUGAUAGUAUUGGAUUCUCUGUUUUUUGGUUUUAUUUUCUUUUGUCCCAAAAAAAUAUGGGACAUAGUUUUACCUAUCUCUUGAUGUAAUUUUUGUGGGUUUUGAUCCCUUUUUUGUUAGAUUCUCUGGUUCUUCAUUUUAUUGUGUUUCAUAUGCACUAACGUGCUUUGUUUUCAAUUAUUGU